ACCAAGGAGUCUAACAUGUGCGCGAGCCGCGGGGCAGUACGAAACCCGUAAGGCGAAAUGAAGGUGAACGCCGGCGCGGUCCGGCGCAGGUUGGAUCCCGUCCCGUCGGGGCGGGCGCACUACCGGCCGAUCUUCUCCGCCCUGUCGGCGAGGUCGAGCGAGAGCGUGCAAGUCGGGACCCGAAAGAUGGUGAACUAUGCCUGAGGAGGUUGAAGCCAGAGGAAACUCUGGUGGAGGACCGUAGCGAUUCUGACGUGCAAAUCGAUCGUCAAAUUUGGGUAUAGGGGCGAAAGACUAAUCGAACCGUCUAGUAGCUGGUUCCCUUCGAAGUUUCCCUCAGGAUAGCUGGCGCUCUGUCGCAGUUUUAUCUGGUAAAGCGAAUGAUUAGAGGUCUUUGGGGGGCGAAACGCCCUCAACCUAUUCUCAAACUUUAAAUUGGUAAGAAGCCCGACUCGCUCGUUUGGAGCCGGGC
rnacentral:ncRNA from 1 species